rnacentral:rRNA from 1 species
GUCCACGCCCUAAACUAUGUCAACUGGUUGUUGGGAAGGUUCCUUCUCAGUAACGUAGCUAACGCGUGAAGUUGACCGCCUGGGGAGUACGGCCGCAAGGUUGAAACUCAAAGGAAUUGACGGGGACCCGGCCACAAGCGGUGGAUGAUGUGGUUUUAAUUUCGAUGCAACGCGAAAAACCUUAACCUUACCCUUGACAUGUCAAGAAUCUUGCAGAGAUGUGAGAGUGCUCGAAAGAGAACUUGAACACAGGUGCUGCAUGGCCGUCGU